GGUGGUUCGUCACGUCGGAUGUGAAAAUCUGGGGCUUAACCCCAGACCUGCAUUCGAUACGGGCGAGCUAGAGUGUGGUAGGGGAGACUGGAAUUCCUGGUGUAGCGGUGGAAUGCGCAGAUAUCAGGAGGAACACCAAUGGCGAAGGCAGGUCUCUGGGCCAUUACUGACACUGAGGAGCGAAAGCGUGGGGAGCGAACAGGAUUAGAUACCCUGGUAGUCCACGCCGUAAACGGUGGGCACUAGUUGUGGGAACCUUCCACGGUUUCUGCGACGCAGCUAACGCAUUAAGUGCCCCGCCUGGGGAGUACGAUCGCAAGAUUAAAACUCAAAGGAAUUGACGGGGCCCCGCACAAGCAGCGGAGCAUGCGGCUUAAUUCGACGCAACGCGAAGAACCUUACCAAGGCUUGACAUAUACAGGAAUAUGGCAGAAAUGUCAUAGCCGCAAGGUCUGUAUACAGGUGGUGCAUGGUUGUCGUCAGCUCGUGUCGUGAGAUGUUGGGUUAAGUCCCGCAACGAGCGCAACCCUCGUUCUGUGUUGCCAGCAUUUAGUUGGGGACUCACAGGAGACUGCCGGGGUUAACUCGGAGGAAGGUGGGGAUGACGUCAAAUCAUCAUGCCCCUUAUGUCUUGGGCUGCACGCAUGCUACAAUGGCUGGUACAAACGGCUGCGAUACCGCAAGGUGGAGCGAAUCCGAUAAAGCCAGUCUCAGUUCGGAUUGGGGUCUGCAACUCGACCCCAUGAAGUCGGAGUUGCUAGUAAUCGUAGAUCAGCAACGCUACGGUGAAUACGUUCCCGGGGCUUGUACACACCGCCCGUCACGUCACGAAAGUCGGUAACACCCGAAGUCAGUGGCCCAACCGUAAGGGGGGAGCUGCCGAAGGUGGGAUCGGUGAUUGGGACGAAGUCGUAACAAGGUAACC
rnacentral:rRNA from 1 species